rnacentral:rRNA from 1 species
CUCCGGUUGAUCCCGCCGGACCUGACUGCUAUCGGAUUGGUACUAAGCCAUGCGAGUCGUUGUAGCAAUACAAGGCGGACGGCUCAGUAACACGUAGUCAACCUAACCUAUGGACGUGGAUAACCUCGGGAAACUGAGAAUAAACCGCGAUAGAUCAUUAUGCCUGGAAUGGCUUAUGGUUCAAACAAUUUAUUGCCGUAGGAUGGGACUGCGGCCUAUCAGCUUGUUGGUGAGGUAAUGGCCCACCAAGGCUAUAACAGGUACGGGCUCUGAGAGGAGAAGCCCGGAGAUGGGUACUGAGACACGGACCCAGGCCCUAUGGGGCGCAGCAGGCGAGAAACCUUAGCAAUGUGCGAAAGCACGACUAGGUUAAUCCGGGUGAUUUCUGUUGAAGAAAUCUUUUGUCAGUCGUAAAACCACAGACGAAUAAGGGGUGGGCAAGUCUGGUGUCAGCCGCCGCGGUAAUACCAGCACCUCGAGUGGUCAGGAGGUUUAUUGGGCCUAAAGCAUCCGUAGCCGGCUACGCAAGUCUCCGGUUAAAUCCAGCUGCUCAACAGAUGGGCUGCCGGAGAUACUACAUAGCUAGGGAGCGGGAGAGGUAGACGGUAUUCUGUGGGUAGGGGUAAAAUCCACUGAUCCAUAGAGGACCACCAGUGGCGAAGGCGGUCUACCAGAACGCGUUCGACGGUGAGGGAUGAAAGCUGGGGGAGCAAACCGGAUUAGAUACCCGGGUAGUCCCAGCUGUAAACGAUGCAAACUCGGUGAUGCAUUGGCUUAUGGCCAAUGCAGUGCCGCAGGGAAGCCGUUAAGUUUGCCGCCUGGGAAGUACGGACGCAAGUCUGAAACUUAAAGGAAUUGGCGGGGGAGCA